GUAGUACUCCCUCCGUCCGGAAUUACUUGUCACAAAAAUGGAUGUAUCUACAACUAAAAUACAUCUAGAUACAUUCAUUUCUUGGAUGAGUAAUUCCGAACGGAGGGAGUAUGUA
rnacentral:pre_miRNA from 1 species